AUGGGCACGGCCAAAGCUCAGCCCUGGACCCAAACCCUGACCCUGGGCCCCAAACUGGGACCCUUGGGGUUCCCCAUCCUCCUCCUCCCGGGUGGGUCCUGUCCCUUUUCCCAGCAGGCCACGCCCACGUUGGGGCUCUCGACCAAUCAGGUUUCUCGUGCCCAUCUCCCCUUGUUCCCUUUGGGGCUGCGGGCGGCCGUGACCCUGCUGGAGCCCGGGGGCACCUCCAGCCCCCCGGGGGCUCCCUGCGCCUCCUCUGCCGAGCAUCCGGGUUCAGUUUUGGGAACUUUGACAUGUACUGGAUCCGCCAGAGGCCCGGGCAGGGGCUGGAGUGGCUGGCAUGGAUCUACAGCAGUGGUGGCAGCACCAACUACGCGCCCUCGGUGCAGGGCCGUUUCACGAUCUCCAGGGACAACGGGCAGAGCUCGGUGACGCUGACCAUGAACAGCCUCAAGGACGAGGAUUCCGGCUCCUAUUUCUGUGCCAAAUGUUUCAGCAGUGGUUGUGGUAACGCUGCUGGUGCUCAUGGUGUUGUUGCUGACUGUGGUCCAGGCCCUUUCUUCUGUGUUCCCAAAUAUCCCAGAAUUGUCCAAAGGUUCCCCAAAUCUCAGCCAUUUUCCCCUAAACUCCUCCCCUGUUACCCCAAGUCUCGACUUUGGCCAUAA